rnacentral:rRNA from 1 species
GUAGGUGGCAAGCGUUGUCCGGAAUUAUUGGGCGUAAAGCGCGCGCAGGCGGUCCUUUAAGUCUGAUGUGAAAGCCCACGGGCUCAACCGUGGAGGGUCAUUGGAAACUGGGGGACUUGAGUACAGAAGAGGAAAGCGGAAUUCCAAGUGUAGCGGUGAAAUGCGUAGAGAUUUGGAGGAACGCCAGUGGCGAAGGCGGCUUUCUGGUCUGUAACUGACGCUGAGGCGCGAAAGCGUGGGGAGCAAACAGGAUUAGAUACCCUGGUAGUCCACGCCGUAAACGAUGAGUGCUAAGUGUUAGGGGGUUUCCGCCCCUUAGUGCUGCAGCUAACGCAUUAAGCACUCCGCCUGGGGAGUACGGCCGCAAAGGCUGA